rnacentral:rRNA from 1 species
CGGACGGGUGAGUAACGCGUGGGUAACCUGCCUCAUACAGGGGGAUAACAGUUAGAAAUGACUGCUAAUACCGCAUAAGCGCACGAGAUCGCAUGAUAAAGUGUGAAAAACUCCGGUGGUAUGAGAUGGACCCGCGUCUGAUUAGCUGGUUGGCGGGGUAACGGCCCACCAAGGCGACGAUCAGUAGCCGACCUGAGAGGGUGACCGGCCACAUUGGGACUGAGACACGGCCCAAACUCCUACGGGAGGCAGCAG